rnacentral:tRNA from 1 species
GCCAAUGUGGCGCAAUGGUAGCGCAGCGCACCUGUAAUGCGAAGGUUGUCAGUUCAAUCCUGACCAUUGGCU